AAUCAUUCAUUUUUCCAAAGUCGAGAAUGAUUGUACCAGAAUGUCUUUGUCACUAUCAUAUAAGCACUUCAAAUGUCUAGUGUGUUAUUCAUCUCAUGAUAUUUUCCGGCUCAAUCUUUUCCAUGUCAACAAACCUUACUUAUCAUUCUUCUAAAUUAAUCAAAACAACACCGGCAGUUGCAAAAAAAGAACCUCAAUGAAACCCGAGUAGUCGUCUUCGCCGGGGCUGGCAUACAAACCCAGCGCACCCAAACAGAGUUAGGAAUAGUGUGUUUGGUGAUAAAGAUGGUGGGGAAUAGAGGAUUCGAUGAUUGGGGUCUCUCUCAAAUGUUAAGCACCUUCAUCACCUUCACGCCAGGGAAGGAGAGUUUUCCCGUCGGAGCCGCCAGCCGCCACCGAUCGUCGGCGUCGUCCGACCGAAUUCCGGCCGCCGCAUGUUAGUUUUCGAAGAGACGAACGAUUUUGAGGUGUUAAAUCUAGCAUUACUAUC